rnacentral:lncRNA from 1 species
CCUUGGGCUCCCUGAGGCCCGCCCAGCAGACUCGAGGAACGCUUGACAAAGUGGCGAAGGAGCCCUACGGGAGUCCCGGUUGGACCCUGCUCCUUCGGUCCCUCAGCCUCGGCAAGCCGCGGUCUCCUGGCCCUUGGCCUGGGUCACCUUAGGAGGCAGGAGGAGAUGUGGUCAGUGUGGGAGCUUGGAGGGGCCAUGCACUUCCGGAGAAGACCACCGACUCAUGGCUUUGGUGGAGGGGCGCCGGCAGAUUUAGUUAAGCUCUCCCCCAUCCCUGACACACCGAGCCGGGGCGGGAGCGGGGCUUGUGACCACUCCGGAGAGCUUUGGGGGCCCCUGCUCUGGGACUCCGCACGGACAGUCACUGUCUCAGAGUGCAUUCUCCAGGGGCCACUCUCGUGGGGACACUGUAG